rnacentral:rRNA from 1 species
UACGUAGGUGGCAAGCGUUGUCCGGAAUUAUUGGGCGUAAAGCGCGCGCAGGCGGCCUUUUAAGUCUGAUGUGAAAGCCCACGGCUCAACCGUGGAAGGUCAUUGGAAACUGAGAGGCUUGAGUACAGAAGAGGAAAGCGGAAUUCCACGUGUAGCGGUGAAAUGCGUAGAUAUCAAGUGGAACACCAGUGGCGAAGGCGAGUCUCUGGACAUUUCCUGACGCUGAGGCACGAAAGCCAGGGGAGCAAACGGG